UACAGAGGUCUCAAGCGUUGUUCGGAUUCAUUGGGCGUAAAGGGUGCGUAGGUGGCGCUGUAAGUCGGGUGUGAAAUUUCGGAGCUUAACUCCGAAACUGCAUUCGAUACUGCGGUGCUUGAGGACUGGAGAGGAGACUGGAAUUCAUGGUGUAGCAGUGACAUGCGUAGAGAUCAUGAGGAAGACCAGUGGCGAAGGCGGGUCUCUGGACAGUUCCUGACACUGAGGCACGAAGGCCAGGGGAGCAAACGGG
rnacentral:rRNA from 1 species